rnacentral:rRNA from 1 species
AGUGAACGCUGGCGGUAGGCCUAACACAUGCAAGUCGAACGGCAGCACAGGAGAGCUUGCUCUCUGGGUGGCGAGUGGCGGACGGGUGAGGAAUACAUCGGAAUCUACUCUGUCGUGGGGGAUAACGUAGGGAAACUUACGCUAAUACCGCAUACGACCUACGGGUGAAAGCAGGGGAUCUUCGGACCUUGCGCGAUUGAAUGAGCCGAUGUCGGAUUAGCUAGUUGGCGGGGUAAAGGCCCACCAAGGCGACGAUCCGUAGCUGGUCUGAAGGGAUGACAAGCCACACUGGAACUGUGACACGGUCCAGAAUCCUACGGGAGGCAGCAGUGGGGAAUAUUGGACAAUGGGCGCAAGCCUGAUCCAGCCAUACCGCGUGGGUGAAGAAGGCCUUCGGGUUGUAAAGCCCUUUCGUUGGGAAAGAAAUCCAGCUGGCUAAUACCCGGUUGGGAUGACGGUACCCAAAGAAUAAGCACCGGCUAACUUCGUGCCAGCCGCCGCCGUAA